AAUCAACGCUGGCGGCGCGCUUAACACAUGCAAGUCGAGCGAGAAAGGGGAGCAAUCCCUGAGUACAGCGGGCGUACGGGUGAGUAACACGUGGGUGAUCUACCUUCUAGUGUGGAAUAACCCUGGGAAACCGGGGCUAAUACCGCAUAAGCCUGUGAAGGGAAAGCAGCAAUGCGCUGGAAGAGGAGCCCGCGGCCGAUUAGCUAGUUGGUGAGGUAACGGCCCACCAAGGCGAUGAUCGGUAGCCGGCCUGAGAGGGCACACGGCCACACUGGGCACUGAAACACGGGCCAGACUCCUACGGGAGGCAGCAGUGGGGAAUCUUGCACAAUGGAGGCAACUCUGAUGCAGCGACGCCGCGUGAGCGAUGAAGCCCUUCGGGUGU
rnacentral:rRNA from 1 species